UGUGUUUUAGCUCCUAACCAUACGCUGGGGAAUGCUACCAUUUUGCCACAACACUGCUUUUCAGCUCCAGUAAUUAAGCCCAGUGCUACAAAUGUCGCGAACUCGAGGGCGAUAGGCACAACAUUAUCUCCACCACCUGGUGUGAUGGUUCCAGUUCAUAAUGCAGUACCAUCUGACUUAUCAGUUAAGGAUGAGAGGGAAUUGAAGCGCGAAAAGAGGAAGCAGUCAAAUAGGGAGUCUGCUAGACGAUCAAGGCUGAGAAAACAGGCUGAGACAGAGGAGUUGGCUACACAAGUGGAGUCUCUUGCAGCAGAGAACACGUCCCUUAGAUCUGAAAUCGGCCGGCUAACAGAGAGCUCAGAGAAGCUCAGACUAGAGAAUUCAGCUCUAAUGGUGAAGCUGAAGGACACUGCAGAACCGUCUCCAAGCAAAGCAGCCGCAUCCCCGUCCUCUCCCCGUGCCUCCGCAGAGAACUUCCUUUCCAUGAUCGACAGUGCCAACGCGCCGAGCGUCAGCAGGCACACGGAG